CAUCUCAGCAUGUUAGAAUAUCAUGUGCCAGUCACUGCAGGAGGAGUAGCAAACAUUUUUGAUCUUCUGGAGGCCAACAAGACUGCUUUAAAUAUCACAAAUUUCUUAGUGAGUCAGACCACUCUGGAAGAGGUUUUCAUCAACUUUGCCAAAGACCAAAAGUGCUAUGAAACUGCCGACACCAGCAGCCAAGGAUCCAUCAUAAGCACUGACUCCCAAGAUGACCAGCUGUAGACUCAGUACCUCCAGCAAAAUCAGUCUCAGCAAGUGGCCAAUGGCUUCAUUUUGGGGAAGAGGCACAGAAGAUACAAAUUCCUCAAAAUAUUUAAUCUUAAAGUAUUAUACUGUGUUGGAAAGUUGCAACUCUGUAAGACUAGCCAGUAACUAUAAAUGGAAAGUUUUCUUUCUAAGGUCAGUGAAUGUUUUUGCUACUGAGUUGAAUUCCUAUCUGCUUAACACUGUGAGCAUGCUAGUGUGUAAGUUGCUGACUCUUAUGCAAAGGUGAAACCACUGAAGAUGAAUGUCUUAAUUUAUUACUUUCAAUAAAAUGGCAGCUUAAAAGGCACGGUUAUGAGUAGUUGAAAAGUAAGAGUGGAGAAGAAAAGUAAGGUAGCUUGGUAGAACUGGGAAAGCAAACAAAAUAAUUUAUUUUCAGAAAAUAACAGAAUGGAUAUCAUCAUGAAUACACGAAUCUGUUAUGAGGUCUAAAGUGCUAAGGGCCUGAUUAAUUAACCUUGGCAGUAAGGAGUGGGUGCAAUGUCUAGAGUGUGUGUGUAUGUUAUUUUCAGUACCUGUAAAUAGAGGGAGACUUUACUGAACCCCCCAAAAUGGCUUUCUACAAGAAUGUUAUAGGAGGGCCGUUUACCCUGGUGGUAAACAGAACUACAAUAUAUUCCUGCACCGCCUUGCCAAUAGUAAGGCACAGGGCAGAGCAAGAAUCUACUUGCUCUUCAGGGGAAAUGGAUGUGUCAGCUGGGUGGAUACAAGUCCUGAAAGACAAUAGAGAAUAGUUGCUGGCAGGCAACAUUUUUCAGAACUGUUCUAGAAAGCUUCAUAUUCUGAGUCUUUCUGCAGGAAACAUUCCUAGGGAAGGAAAAUGAAUAUGAAGACAAUUUUCAAUUAAUUACCCAGCUGACCCAGAAUCAUAUAUGUGGCUAUAGAAUAGACUUAUAACAAUGCCAAACUAUAUGGCCCUCAGGGAAGGUCUCUAUAUAAUGUGUGUGGGGGAGGCUGUGUGUGUGUGUGUGUGUGUGUGUGUGUGUCUGUCUGUCUGUAUGAAUUGUCAGCUUUAGUGCAACUGUUUCUGUUUUGAAAGUCAAUAAAGUCAAAAUUUAGUAAAAAUAA